rnacentral:rRNA from 1 species
AGUUGGUAAGGUAACGGCUUACCAAGGCGACGAUACGUAGCCGACCUGAGAGGGUGAUCGGCCACACUGGAACUGAGACACGGUCCAGACUCCUACGGGAGGCAGCAGUAGGGAAUCUUCCGCAAUGGGCGAAAGCCUGACGGAGCAACGCCGCGUGAGUGAUGAAGGUCUUCGGAUCGUAAAACUCUGUUGUUAGGGAAGAACAAAUUUGUUAGUAACUGAACAAGUCUUGACGGUACCUAACCAGAAAGCCACGGCUAACUACGUGCCAGCAGCCGCGGUAAUACGUAGGUGGCAAGCGUUAUCCGGAAUUAUUGGGCGUAAAGCGCGCGUAGGCGGUUUCUUAAGUCUGAUGUGAAAGCCCACGGCUCAACCGUGGAGGGUCAUUGGAAACUGGGAAACUUGAGUGCAGAAGAGGAGAGUGGAAUUCCAUGUGUAGCGGUGAAAUGCGCAGAGAUAUGGAGGAACACCAGUGGCGAAGGCGGCUCUCUGGUCUGUAACUGACGCUGAUGUGCGAAAGCGUGGGGAUCAAACAGGAUUAGAUACCCUGGUAGUCCACGCCGUAAACGAUGAGUGCUAAGUGUUAGGGGGUUUCCGCCCCUUAGUGCUGCAGCUAACGCAUUAAGCACUCCGC